UGGAAACUNUCUGACUUGAGUGCAGAAGGGGAGAGUGGAAUUCCAUGUGUAGCGGUGAAAUGCGUAGAUAUAUGGAGGAACACCAGUGGCGAAAGCGGCUCUCUGGUCUGUCACUGACGCUGAGGCUCGAAAGCGUGGGUAGCGAACAGGAUUAGAUACCCUGGUAGUCCACGCCGUAAACGAUGAGUGCUAGGUGUUAGGCCCUUUCCGGGGCUUAGUGCCGGAGCUAACGCAAUAAGCACUCCGCCUGGGGAGUACGACCGCAAGGUUGAAACUCAAAGGAAUUGACGGGGGCCCGCACAAGCGGUGGAGCAUGUGGUUUAAUUCGAAGCAACGCGAAGAACCUUACCAGGUCUUGACAUCCCGAUGCUAUUCUUAGAGAUAGGAAGUUACUUCGGUACAUCGGAGACAGGUGGUGCAUGGUUGUCGUCAGCUCGUGUCGUGAGAUGUUGGGUUAAGUCCCGCAACGAGCGCAACCCUUAUUGUUAGUUGCCAUCAUUAAGUUGGGCACUCUAGCGAGACUGCCGGUAAUAAACCGGAGGAAGGUGGGGAUGACGUCAAAUCAUCAUGCCCCUUAUGACCUGGGCUACACACGUGCUACAAUGGUCGGUACAACGAGUUGCGAGCCGGUGACGGCAAGCUAAUCUCUGAAAGCCGAUCUCAGUUCGGAUUGGAGGCUGCAACUCGCCUCCAUGAAGUCGGAAUCGCUAGUAAUCGCGGAUCAGCACGCCGCGGUGAAUACGUUCCCGGGCCUUGUACACACCGCCCGUCACACCACGAGAGUUUGUAACACCCGAAGUCGGUGAGGUAACCUUUUAGGGNCCA
rnacentral:rRNA from 1 species